CCUACGGGAGGUAGCAGUAGGGAAUAUUGCUCCAUGGGGGAAACCCUGAAGCAGCAACGCCGCGUGGAGGAUGAAGGUUUUAGGAUUGUACCCUCCUUUUGUUAGAUACGAUUAUGACGGUAUCUAACGAAUAAGCACCGGCUAACGCCGUGCCAGCAGCCGCGGUAAUCCGGAGGGUGCAAGAGUUACUCGGAAUCACUGGGCGUAAAGAGUGCGUAGGCGGGUUAAUAAGUCAGAUGGGAAAUCCUGUAGCUUAACUACAGAACUGAAUUUGAAACUGUUACUCUGGAGUGUGGGAGAGGUAGGUGGAAGUCUUGGUGUAGGGGUAAAAUCCGGAGAGAUCAAGAGGAAUACUCAUUGCGAAGGCGACCUGCUGGAACAUUACUGACGCUGAUGCACGAAAGCGUGGGGAGCAAACAGGAUUAGAUACCCGGGUAGUC
rnacentral:rRNA from 1 species